GGCGAAAAAAACUGAUUCGGAAUAUUGCGGAAAUUUAUAACGCGGAAAAGAAAUCUCCGUCCGAGACCGAACUCCUUUUGUGGGGCUGGAACACCACCACGAGUAUGUCGUCAGUCAUUGGAGGGACAAAAUACGCGUGGGCAUGACCACCGGAUUCAGGAACACUCUAGAGCACAUGCCGGCGUGCCUUACAUUUUUCUGCCGCGCGUAGAACACCCGAGCUCGCUGCUUAUACCGUACCCCACUACGCUCGUAUGCCUGAUGAAGACUAGCGCGAAUCCUCUCUUGGAUGAUUUGUCGCUUGUCCUGACUCUCCAGCAGCGAUAUGUCCUGCUCGCCGAGUGACCGCAGUCGUUUUGCCAGCUUGUAGCAUGACCCAUAUGCGCAUCCCAGUCCCGGUGGUCGUCUUCCAGAUACGCCCGACUCGCGUUGAGAACUGUGCGAUUCACGCGUUCGGCUACGUUACUCUGCGGAGAAUAAACCGGCGUCCUCAUAUGGGUGACCCCCAUUGUCCGUCUCCAAACUUGGAAAAUACCUCGUGGACGAAGAACCUCACAACUUCCUUUGCUGUGGCCUUGUUCAUGGUCUUCAAGAAUGCGAACUUCGGAACCUUCGUUUUUUGAUCUCGGAUAUUUGCCCAAGAAAUCAAUGUACAGUUUUUGGAACGGGCGCUCGGUGACCACCUCUUGCCCCAUCCCGACCUGCAUCCGAUUAUUCUGUGCUUUCGACUCCUUGCACACGGUACACCGUCGGAUAUAAUCCCGCACCUCUAAUACCAUGUUCGGCCAGUAAAACUGCCGACGCAAUAAAUGCAAGGGUUUCGCGAUUCCACCGUGCACUGUCUUCUAUGUGUAAGUGUGCUUUGUCUAUCAGUGCGGCCAUCAGCGUGCUCGGAACCCACAAUUUCCAGACGGAUCCCUCCAGUUGAUCGUCAAAUCGUUGAAACCGUAUGCGCUUAAAUAUCAUGCCAUCAACAAUAUGGAGGUCGGAUUCAAACUCCACCGUUUCGAAACCCAGGAUACCACUCGGAUCCACUUCGACCUCUUCAAUACUGCGCGACAAUGUAUCUGCCACUUCAUUGUCUAUUCCUUUCCGGUGUUCUAUGGCGAAAUCGAUGGCUUGUAGUUGGAGGGACCACCGAGCCAAGCGACCAUCCAGGUUUUUCAGGGGUCAUGAGCCAUUUGAGACUGGCGUGGUCAGUAAUGACUGUAAAUGGCAGAAGCUCUACGUACGGACGGAACUUUAGGAUCGCCAUAAAAGCUGCCAGACACUCCUUCUCUGUCACCGAGUAGUUCUUCUGGCGACAAUUUAGCUUGGCGGAACGGCUAUCUCAGCAUAGUUCUUCAUAAAGCGCCGAUACCAGCCCGCAGUUCCCAGGAAGUUAUGCAAUUCUCGGACAGAUCGCGGCUCGGGAAUGCGAUCAGGAUCCAUCUUCACAGGAGAUUAACAAAAGUGAGAUUUACUCAGCCCUAUCGUUAGGUUCGCUUCUCGUAGGCGCUCGGCAACCUGUCGCAGAAUCUUCACGUGCGUUUCGAAGUCCUCGUCUAUAAUCAACAAGUCGUCUAGAUACGCAUAGACGUUUGAACGCAUCUCUACCGGAAUGACCUUGUCGACCAGUCCACAUAGGCGUUGUGCAGCGUUGCAGAGGCCAAAGGGCAUCAUACGAAACUGGUAAAAAGGCCGUCCCGGCACCAUGAAUGCCGUAUAUGCUCGACUCUGCUCGUCUAGCUCGAUUUGCCAAAAAGCGAAUUUUAAAUCGACGCUGGAGAUGUAUAUCGUCUGAUCGAGACAAAAUCCCCUCGAUUCUAGGCACCCACUGCCUUGAUGCGUCCUUGAUGGUUACUUUGUUGAGCUUUCGGGCAUCGAGACAAAAAAGAUUUUUGCCCGGCCUUCGCACCACUGUACUUGAUGACUUGUUGAUGACCAACAUUUUUUACACCUCCCCACACACCACUUCUUGCAUCGCUGUUGACAGCGGGUAAUGUCGAUCCUUUACAGGUUCAGCCUUCUCCACUAACUGAAUUUUAUGAGUCUCUCUCUCGACGUCCUCUCCAGGCCUACAGCUUUGAAAGUCAGAAACUCUGCCUUCACGUGAUCCAAGGCUGCCUUCUGCUCUUCCGACAACUCCAAUUCUUUCUGCACUAUCUCCUUCUCUGGGCCUUCCACAUAGUGAGCGACUUGAUCAGCCAGCACUUCUUCCACUAAUCUGUGAGAUGCCCCUACUAGACCUUCUCCCAUCACCUCAGGAGCCAAUGAGAAUACCCGCCAAAAAUCUACCCCCAAGGAAGUUUCCUGUUCAAGAAAGGGCAUAACAAAAACGUUAAUCUUUUUACCUCUCCCUCUACGCCAAGCUUCUCCAGGAAUUCCUGACCAUUUCGCCCUAGCAUGCUGUGUGUAGAGCCUGAAUCCAAAAGGCUUCUCAUGGACUCUCCCAUUAUAGAGAUGCCAAACACCACCGCCAUGAUCGCGAAUGUACUGCCAGUACCAUUCCCGCGCGUUUCCUGUAACCAGGUGAUAGAAUCCCUUGAGAACCUCAUCCCACGGGCAGCGACAUUGGGAUUGUAGGAAUUCAAUUCGGAACAAAAAAUCCUCGACCGCCAUUUUGUUGCUUUCCCCGUCGAACGUCACAUCCCAUUUUUCGUCUCGGCCCCACCGUGGCCAAGGUCUAUAACCCGGCGGUUUUGAAUGCGGAUCUUCUCGAGGAAUUUCACCAGCUCUCCUUCUCUCGCCACGACCCUGACCUGAGUGUCUACGUGCUAUCGGGUUUCGCCAAUCUCGCGCUUGAUUCUCAGCCCGUUUAUGCUGCUCACUGGAUGCGGUCGCCCCUACUCCUGAUGACGGUUCCGGACCAAUACCACCUCACCCCAAGCGAGCCAAAAAUGGCCCAUCUUCCUGGCCUGGACAGCUCCAAGUUCCUCCCGAUCUUGAUCGAAUAUCGCCCCGGACGCUUCUCCUAUCGGGUCCACUGUUUCGUUUACGCGUGAUCGCGUAUGAUACGGUCGACUACCCCCUUCUUGGGGCAUCUGCACUGAGCAACACCAAUACUACAACAAAAAUUAACUCCUAAAAAUCGCUCCUCAACUACGAUAAAUAUAUAUAUAAAUAAAUAAAUACCAAAAUAAAUAUCUAGCAAUAAAUAAAUAGCACUACGCUUUGGACCAAUAAGUACUCAGAUAAAUAGAUACUUAAAUACCGAUAUAAAUAUUGCGCCAACUAGCUCCGUUAGCGAGAUAUAUACAAUUAAAUAUUUGAAUAAAUAAUAACAUAUAUGUAUAUUCGGUCGACACCUAAGACGCUUAAACUUCAAAUACAUUCAACACAACACAAAACCUAAGAACAAGGACCUAAGGACACGUGACUAGUCGGGACCAGCAACCGCUCCAGUUUCUGCGCUCCACUUGACAGUCGCCCUACGGAUAUCUACAAUUACGUACACCGAUAAGCGAGAAGCCUCACGGUGCACGAGCCCACUUUGCUUGUGAUUUAUUCCUGUCAUCCAUCAUACCGAUCUGCCAUGACAACCGAUGCAUCGCGGGCUGUCUUUACGACUCCCGGGCCACCUAUUCCUCACCACAUCUCGGCAGACAGACCACAGGUUCAAAGCACGAAAGCGGCCUUUUUUUUUUUAGCAAACAGAUUCACAUCACAGCUCACCAGGCAAUGUGUCCGUCGCAAACUUCCUGUUCAUUUUUUUUGAACGGCAGUGACUUACGUUCACUUGCGACAUCGAACACUGACAAAAUGCUCAACUGCAAUCCGUAAGUCCCUAUCAAAUAUUUCAUAUUUACGUUAACUGCCUCCGUCUAUCUUUACCUAGCAACGAUCACCAUGCGCCAUUAAGGAUCAGCUUUACGCUCCCCUUAAGCCUGCAGAAGCGACUUAUGCCGGGAAAGCUAAAAUGCGCUUCGCGAGCUGUAGUUUCAUUUUAGUUUCUCCCCUGUUUGUUGAAAACAAAAAAAAAAACGAGGGGGAGCGUUGUGAGUUGC